GCAGAGUGCAAACAAUUUUGAC
rnacentral:miRNA from 6 species